AUUAAAUUCCUUUCAGAUAGUUUCCUAUUUCCUUGUUAUUUUUCGCUUUAAUAAUCGUCAAACUACAAUUUAUGAAUUCAAAAUGCUUGAUGACAAAAAGUUUAGAAACUAUUUCCUAGAUUUGGUUGCCAAGAAAGUGAAAGAAUGGAUACAAAAGAUUAUUAUAUCCAAUUCUAAUUAGUUUAAAACUGAGACCUAGUUGACACAUGUUCAGC
rnacentral:misc_RNA from 1 species